GACAGAGGUGCCGAGCGUUAGGCGGAAUCACUGGGCUUAAAGCGUGUGUAGGCGGAUCUGUAAGUACCUUGUGAAAUCCCACGGCUCAACCGUGGAACUGCUUGGUAUACUGCGGGUCUUGAGCCACCUAGGGGCAAGUGGAACAAACGGUGGAGCGGUGAAAUGCGUAGAUAUCAGGAGGAACACCAAUUGCGAAGGCAGCUCGCUGGGACGUUACUGACGCUGAGACGCGAAAGCGUGGGGAGCAAACAGG
rnacentral:rRNA from 1 species